GUACACGAGAUCCUGAAGCGCACCAGCUGCUCUCGAGCCAGCAGCAUGAUGGGUAUUAAUUCUCUGAUAGCAAAUAACAUCUACGAGGCUGCCUACCCGCUGCACGACGGUGAAUGUGAUGGUCCAGGGGAUGACGUGAAUGACAGAAAGCUGCUGUAUCAAGAAUGGGCACGCUAUGGGGUGUUUUAUAAGUUUCAACCUAUUGACCUCAUCAG